rnacentral:lncRNA from 1 species
UUAGUAAAGGUCGUAUAACUUCUCCAUCCUAACUCGUUUUCUCCUGAAACUUGACGACUGCUUAUAUAAUUAAAUUGCACACAAAAAUAUCGCCAAUAAAAAGUUUAGCUAUGCAACAAAAUUCUCAGUCCUCACAGGCCCAAACCUUAUUUUUUAAUAGUCGAUAUAACAAAAUUAUAUUUUAUACGAUGUAAAAAAAAUUGUACACCGAGUAUAUAAGAUAUACUCAUAUAUAAUCUAUAAUUAAUUAAAAAGGGUAAACUUCAAAUACCACCCCUGUGGUUUCGCAUUUUCUUACUUUAGUACCCUGUGGUUUAAAGUGUAUAAGUUAGUAUCAUGUGGUUUUAUUUUCUCUUUUUGUUAGUUCCUUCAUUAAUAUUUCAUUAAAUUAUAUACAAAAAAACUUCAAAUACUCCACUUAGGUUUAUCGAAUAUUCAGUUUAGUACUCUUUAAUUUUAACUUUGUCACUCAUUUAACGAAAAAAGUUAAUGGAAUGAAUAAUAAAAAAAAAAUAAAACUAUGAAGUACUAAAUUGAUACACUUUAAACCACAAGGUCCUAAAGUGAGAAAGUACAAAAUCAUAUGAGAUCCUGUCAUAUAAAAAAAAAUGCCACAUGUCA